GAUGAAGAACGUAGCGAAAUGCGAUACGUAAUGUGAAUUGCAAAUUCAGUGAAUCAUCGAGUCUUUGAACGCACAUUGCGCCCCCUGGUAUUCCGGGGGGCAUGCCUGUCCGAGCGUCAUUGCUGCCCUCAAGCACGGCUUGUGUGUUGGGCCCCGUCCUCCGAUCCCGGGGGACGGGCCCGAAAGGCAGCGGCGGCACCGCGUCCGGUCCUCGAGCGUAUGGGGCUUUGUCACCCGCUCUGUAGGCCCGGCCGGCGCUUGCCGAUCAACCCAAAUUUUUAUCCAGGUUGACCUCGGAUCAGGUAGGGAUACCCGCUGAACUUAAGCAUAUUAAUAAGCGGAGGA
rnacentral:misc_RNA from 1 species